rnacentral:lncRNA from 1 species
AAAAAUUUUGGACCCUUGUUGCUGGUUUGCCAAAAUCUCGUGUACUAAGUGGUCCUUUCUAAACUAUACACGCGGACUUUAACCUGUUCAGUUUUUCUCUGCUUGGUCGAAAGAGGUCAGAGGAGGUUGGAGGGGCGGCGGCGCCGGGCACCACCGAUAUGUAUACAAUCCCAUUUCAUGGGCUUCUUUCCGUUUUCACGAUACAGAAGUUACAGUACGAUCAAAACCCCUCUCUCCAAAUUCACACAAACGGUCUCGACCUCACUCUUCCCUUCAAAUCUCACAAGCUUAUUCCCCGAACAAUCCACCACCACCACUUCCGCUGCCGCUGAACCCAACAAAAAUGAAGAUGAUAUUCAUCAUCAAAGGGUCAAACCCACCAAAAGCAAGAAAGCCCGAAAAAUGGCCCUGCUUAUCAAUGCAAAGCCCUGGUCAGCCCAGCUUGAAUCCUCCCUUUCCACCCACACUCCCCUCUCCGAGACCAGCUUCCUUCAAACCCUCCGCCUCAUCAAGUCCCCUGCCAACGCCCUCCAAUUCUUCAACUGGUCUCGUAACACGGGUUUCACUCACAGCGAGCACUCCUACUUCUUCAUGCUCGAAAUUCUUGGUCGGGCCCGGAACCUCAAUUCCGCUCGAAACUUCCUCCUGUCUAUUCCAACAAAAUCCAACAAUGCUAUACCACUCACUGACAAGUUUUUCAACAGCUUGAUUCGGAGCUAUGGUAAUGCCGGGCUUUUCAAGGAAUCAAUUAAGUUGUUCGAAACCAUGAAAUCAAUGGGUAUUUCGCCUUCUACAUUUACAUUUAAUAAUUUGUUUUUUAUUUUGCUCAAAAGAGGUCGGACUGGAAUGGUUUUUGAGUUCUAUGAUGAAAUGCUUAGGACUUACGGUGCGAAGCCCGAUUUAUACACGUUUAAUAUAUUGAUAAGAGGGUUUUGUAUGAACUCGAGGAUGGAUGAUGCAUUUAGGUUCUUUAAAGAAAUGGAGUUGUUUAAUUGCAAACCGGAUUUGAUAACCUAUAACACGAUUGUUGAAGGGUUGUGUAGAGCAGGGAAAGUGACAAUUGCGCACAAUGUGGUAAAGGGUAUGUGUCUAAAGGGAGAAAAUUUGAUGCCGAAUGUUGUUACUUACACCACUUUGGUUAGAGGGUAUUGUAAGAAGCAAGAGAUUGACAUAAUGUUAGAUGUAUUGAGGGAAAUGGUUGAUAGUGGGAUUAAGCCAAACGAGAUCACUUAUAAUACAAUUAUAAAUGGGCUUUGCGAAGCCCAAAUGUUUGAUAAGAUAAAAGAUCUGUUAGAAGGGUGGCGUGGAGAGCCUGGAGGAUUUGCGCCUGAUACAUGCACUUUUAACAUGUUGAUGAAUGCUCAUUGCAAAAUGGAUGAUUUGAGUGAAGCAUUUAAAGUUUUUGAGAAAAUGAAGGAGCUAAAGGUCCAACAAGAUUCAGCCUCGUACAGUGUGCUAAUCCGGGGUUUGUGCCAGAAGUUGGAUUUUGGGAGGGCAGAAGAGUUGCUUGACGAGUUAUUGGCAAAGGAGAUUCUAUUAUGUGAUGAUGGGUGCACUCCCCUUGCUGCUGCAUACAAUCCCAUUUUUGAAUAUCUUUGUCGAAACGGGAAAACGAAGAAAGCUGAGCAAGUUCUCAGGCAGCUAAUGAGUAGAGGAAUUCAGGACCCUCCGUCAUAUAGAACUUUGAUCUUGGGGCAUUGCAAGGAAGGAACCUGCAUAGCUGGGCACAAGCUCUUGGUCUUGAUGUUGAGAAGACAUUUUGUGCCUGAUCGUGAGACUUAUGACUCCCUGAUUGAAGCUUUGUUGCAAAAUGGUGAACCAACCCUUGCCCAUGAUACUUUAAAAAGGAUGUUGAUAAGCUCAUAUCUUCCAAGAUCAUCUACUUUCCAUCGUAUUCUCACGGAACUUGUCAAGCUGGGUUCUGCUCUUGAAUCUGCUAGCUUAGUGAUAUUAAUGUUAGAGAAAGAGAUCAGACAAAACAUCAAUCUGUCAACAGACACUGUUAAGCUUCUCUUCAUGCGUGGCUUACGGGAUAAGGCAUUUGAGGUGACUAGAAGUCUUUAUGAGAGUGGUUAUGUUUUGAGUAUGGAAGAAUUAAUUUCAUUCCUUUGUGAUGGCAGAAAGUUGAUGGAGGCAUAUGAAUUGGUUAGUUUUAGUCUGAAAAACGAUCAUAAUAUUGACGUGGCUAUAUGCAGUACUGUUUUGACAAGUCUUUGUAAAGCCCAUAAAGCAUCUGAAGCAUUUGACCUUUACUAUAAGAUGAUAGAGAAGGGAAUUCAACAACCUUUGGGCUGCGUAGAAGACUUGAGAAGUAUUCUUGAAGCUGAAGGGAAAUUGAAGGAAGCUGAAUUUGUUACUAAGAGGAUGCCAAGUCCAUCGCAGUUGGAUGGAUCUGGUUAAGACUUGAGGUUAAAGCUGAGAUUUUGAUACUUGUAGUACUUUCGUUUCAAUGACUUUUCUUUAUAAGGAGUUGCACAGCCCUUUGUAAUUCUUUCUGCGUUCUCUUGCUGGCCAUUGAUCAAGAAUCUUUUAGAUGUACUAAUCAUCCGAAAACCACACAUGUAUGUUUUUCAAGCAGGAUUAUAUGUUAAAGACUAUUUACAUAACGUGAAAUUAUGUGGGUCGGGGGUAGGUUUAUGGGUCAAACCCUCCCAAACCGACCCAGUCCGAAAUAAAAAAUGUGAAACUUUUCUGCAAUCAAGCGUGAAGAUCCUUCUUUCACUCACAAUGUUGAAACCUAGCCUGCCUUGUGGCGAAAUUGGCGGCCACUGAUCUGAAAGUCACCCCUAUUUUUAUUUCUUUCAAGGUAAUUUCUCAACUUUCUCAUAUUUUCAAGAUAAUUUACUGGAUUUUUACUACAUUUUCCGUCUAAUUCUGAUUGAAUUUAGAGCCAUAAAUAAUUAAAGAGCCAUAGAAUUCUAUCUAUUGGGUUUAUUACAUCCCAGUUGAGUGGCUUCAAGAUUUCAACAACCCAGUUUCAGAAACUUGCUCCAAGCCCAAUGUCCAUUCUUUUCAAGUCUUCCCUCCGACCUAUUACUUGUAAUCUGUGUGUAUUUUUUGACGUUAAAGAUUUUAUAAUUCUGUUCUCUUUCAUUCUAUUUUGGGCCUUUUUGGUUUGUGUUGAUACGGGUAAAGCUAAUACUAAUUAAACUUGAGUGAAUGAUAUCCGUAACAUAGAAGAUGAUUGUACUGAAAUCUAUGUUCUAAAUGUGCUGUAACUUGUUUGGGUAGAAAGUUUGCACGGGAGUUUGGGGUUGAGUUAAUUUGGUAACCGAAGAUAUGUAGCAAUGAACUAGUGUUAAUGUGUAUCAAGUUGGUUUCAAAAUUAUAUAUCUUGCACAAUUCAGAAUUGUAUGGUGCAGUCUGAACUCUGUAUGACUCGCAGCCGCCUACCAAUUCCUUAAUACCUUUUAUAGGAACACCAAGAUGCAACAAAUUGUGUCCAGAAAACCAUCCGUACUUUGUAUGAUCCUUAGCUGCUUUUUGUGGUUGGACUCAAUAUUCGAGUAUAAGCAUGCUGCAAAUAGUGACCCAAUGAUUACGAUUGAUCUCCGUGAGAUAACAUGUUUCCACCUAUUUUUGCAGUUACACUCUUAAGAAUAAAACAUGGUUGGACUUUUCUUAGCAUUCAAUGCUUCUGCUUUGUGUAACAAUCUGGGCCUGGCAAUGUACUUCUACGGGUAGCAAUGUUAAUCCCCCCCCCCCCCCAACCCGCCCAUCUGUGAAUUUAUGAGAAUUCAAUUGUGUUUCUCUGAACAGUUGUGAAUUUAGCAAGACGAGGCUGGGUAUUUAAGUCAAAACUCAUAGAUGUAGGUGGAAGACCAUGUUAAGGAUUUAUAAUUUUUUCUUUGCUCUUUAAAUUGUCACUGUUUUUUUACAGUUGAUUUUCUGAAAAUGUGAUUAGUUUAUAGUUAUUGUCUCAAUGAUAAAUCUUUUGCAUUGAUUUUAACCUAGGACACUUCAAGAUACGGAGGAGAGUGAUAAAUUCUGAUUGAAAAUCAAUCUCUAAUUGCAUCAAGUGGUUACCUUCCAUAUUAAGCACACGGAUAUGCUAUAAAACUAAACCAUUAUAUUAAAUUAUUUAUUUUAUGGGAUUACAAAACCGAAAAGAUAAUGAAUUUAUUUAUUUAUUUAUUUUUAUGUAGAAUUAUACAUAUCCAUGUGUUACAAGAUUGAAUAUCGAUCUUUUACACUGGUUCUUGCUUGUUAAUUUGGCAGUUUCAUUAUUCGCCCUUGUCCCCAUUGAGAGCAGUAGCCAGAGUCCCUGCAGGACAUAUGCAGUUCUUUGCUUGUGCUCCAUUUUGCUCGAUGUUGCUUGGUUCAUUCUCUUCUCUCAUGAAAUCUGAUGCGACCUUUUCUUAUUCAUCAUACUUAUAGAUUUCUAGUUUAAUUUCUUGUUCUUCAUUUCCAUAUCAUGUAUACAAUCUUGGCAUGUUGUAAUUCAAGAAAACAGUAAGAAACCUCUUUAAUUCCCAAAUUUAUAUGUACAUCUUCAAUUUCAAUUCACAAGUUGAACAAUUUCAUUAGUAAAUACUUAAAUCUUUCUAAAAAUUCUCAAGACACUAAACACCUGAGUAACUAGAUAAGUGGAUGGCAUUGGUAAUCACCUCUAACAACUGGAAAACACUCAUUUCAAUUUCUUGUCUUUCCAUUACUUAACUAUUAUGUUUCUA